AGUGAACGCUGGCGGUAGGCCUAACACAUGCAAGUCGAACGGCAGCACAGUAAGAGCUUGCUCUUACGGGUGGCGAGUGGCGGACGGGUGAGGAAUACAUCGGAAUCUACUUUUUCGUGGGGGAUAACGUAGGGAAACUUACGCUAAUACCGCAUACGACCUACGGGUGAAAGCAGGGGAUCUUCGGACCUUGCGCGAUUGAAUGAGCCGAUGUCGGUUUAGCUAGUUGGCGGGGUAAAGGCCCACCAAGGCGACGAUCCGUAGCUGGUCUGAGAGGAUGAUCGGCCACACUGGAACUGAGACACGGUCCAGACUCCUACGGGAGGCAGCAGUGGGGAAUAUUGGACAAUGGGCGCAAGCCUGAUCCAGCCAUACCGCGUGGGUGAAGAAGGCCUUCGGGUUGUAAAGCCCUUUUGUUGGUAAAGAAAAGCAGCAGGUUAAUACCCCGCUGUUCUGACGGUACCCAAAGAAUAAGCACCGGCUAACUUCGUG
rnacentral:rRNA from 1 species